rnacentral:rRNA from 1 species
UACGAAGGGGGCUAGCGUUGUUCGGAAUUACUGGGCGUAAAGCGCACGUAGGCGGUCAUUUAAGUCAGGGGUGAAAUCCCAGAGCUCAACUCUGGAACUGCCUUUGAUACUGGGUGUCUUGAGUAUGGAAGAGGUGAGUGGAAUUCCGAGUGUAGAGGUGAAAUUCGUAGAUAUUCGGAGGAACACCAGUGGCGAAGGCGGCUCACUGGUCCAUUACUGACGCUGAGGUGCGAAAGCGUGGGGAUCAAACAGG